rnacentral:misc_RNA from 1 species
GAAAUGCGAUAAGUAAUGCGAAUUGCAGAAUUUCCGUGAGUCAUCGAAUCUUUGAACGCACAUUGCGCCCAUUGGUAUUCUGGCGGGCAUGCCUGUCCGAGCGUCAUUUCAACCAUCAAGCCCCCGGGCUUGUGUUGGGGACCUGCGGCUGCCCGCAGGCCCUGAAAACCAGUGGCGGGCUCGCUGUCACACCGAGCGUAGUAGCAAUCACCUCGCUCAGGGCGUGCUGCGGGUUCCGGCCGUUAAACAGCCUUACAAAACCCAAGGUUGACCUCGGAUCAGGUAGGAAGACCCGCUGAACUUAAGC